CCGGUUGAUCCUGCCGGAGGUUACUGCUAUCGGUGUUCGCCUAAGCCAUGCGAGUCAUAUGUUCUUCGUGAACAUGGCGUACUGCUCAGUAACACGUGGAUAACCUGCCCUUGGGUCCGGCAUAACCCCGGGAAACUGGGGAUAAUACCGGAUAACGCACAUAUGCUGGAAUGCUUUAUGCGUAAAACGGAUUCGUCUGCCCAAGGAUGGGUCUGCGGCCUAUCAGGUAGUAGUGGGUGUAAUGUACCUACUGGCCGACAACGGGUACGGGUUGUGAGAGCAAGAGCCCGGAGAUGGAUUCUGAGACAUGAAUCCAGGCCCUACGGGGCGCAGCAGGCGCGAAAACUUUACAAUGCGGGAAACCGUGAUAAGGGGACACCGAGUGCCAGCAUCAUAUGCUGGCUGUCCGGGUGUGUAAAAUACACCUGUUAGCAGG
rnacentral:rRNA from 1 species